rnacentral:rRNA from 1 species
GAUGAACGCUGGCGGCGUGCCUAACACAUGCAAGUCGAACGAAUUGCUUUAAAGGAAGUUUUCGGAUGGAAUUUAAAGUAGUUAGUGGCGGACGGGUGAGUAACGCGUGGGAAACCUGCCCUAUACAGGGGGAUAGCCUCGGGAAACUGGGAUUAAUACCCCAUAAAACUCUAGUAUCGCAUGAUACAUGAGCCAAAGAUUUAUCGGUAUAGGAUGGUCCCGCGUCUGAUUAGCUAGUUGGUGAGGUAACGGCUCACCAAGGCGACGAUCAGUAGCCGGCCUGAGAGGGUGAACGGCCACACUGGAACUGAGACACGGUCCAGACUCCUACGGGAGGCAGCAGUGGGAAUAUUGGACAAUGGAUGGAAAUCUGAUCCAGCCAUGCCGCGUGCAGGAAGACGGCCCUAUGGGUUGUAAACUGCUUUAUACGGGAGCAAUAAGGUCUAUGCAUAGAUUGAUGAGAGUACCGUAUGAAUAAGCAUCGGCUAACUCGUCG